GUCGCCUCGGCUUUCUUUCGCACUGUCUCGCGUUAUCGGAGGCCUUCAGGCAGCACCGGGAGAAGGGUGGAGAUACGUUGAGGGAGAGGGGCACGGCGAGGGACCCCCGCCGGGCGUGGAAAGUGCUGCUUAAUCCAACAAACUACUCACGCUAGACCGAGAGGGAGGGGGGCUGUACAUGUACAGACACAUGCACCCCGAAAGCCAUGUGCAUUGCACUUCUCCGUCAUAUUCGAAAGCACAGGGAGUUUAUCUGUAAACAGCAGAACAUCAUUCAUUAGUUGCAUAAACGGGAAAUGGCGCUAAAGCGAAUUCAGAAGGAGCUGACGGAUUUACAACGUGACCCUCCAGCGCAGUGCUCAGCUGGCCCGGUUGGGGAGGACUUAUUUCACUGGCAGGCCACCAUCAUGGGACCGAAUGACAGUCCCUUCCAGGGUGGUGUCUUCUUCCUGACUAUACACUUUCCCACGGAUUACCCUUUUAAACCACCCAAGGUGGCCUUCACCACUAAGAUCUUCCACCCCAACAUCAACAGCAAUGGCAGUAUUUGUCUGGAUAUCUUGCGGUCCCAGUGGUCCCCAGCCCUCACGGUCUCCAAAGUCCUGCUGUCAAUCUGCUCGCUGCUGUGUGACCCAAACCCUGACGACCCACUGGUGCCAGAGAUCGCCCACACCUACAAGGCAGACAGAGAGAAGUGAGCGACGUCCUGCUGUCCGCUCUGGCUCGUUCACCUGUCCCCAUGCUCAGUGACCUCUCCAGGGCUAGGCUCUUGUCCAGAGCAAGUUAGAAUCAAAGAAAAAUUAAAAGGUACAACCGACUGGCUAUGGAAUGGACACAGAAGUAUGCCAUGUGAGGAAGGGACCUGGUGUCAAUGAACUGAAGAGCUGGGAAUACAAAACAUUUUAACUGUGAACACUGGCAGACGGAACCGACAGACUGAGCUGUUGGGGUCCGGAGUGAAAAUGCUGGACCAGCCAUGUUCUGUAGGGGGUGUUCCCCCCCCAAUACACCCUCCAGUGCAUCUUAUUGGCUGACACUCACAGGUCUGCCAUGUGAGGACAGCAGGACACCUUGCCAAAGUGCAGCAUGACCUUUGACCUCCUGUGAGUGCCAUGGGAUACCCUCCGUAGAGAUGCAAUUGGCUCUAUGAUUGUUAUCUUCAUUAUAAAUAUUUAUUUAAAUAGAGAAGCUGUGAUUA